UAUAGACCAAACCGAGGAGCACUUCUACGACUCCAUCGCCGACACCACAGCAUCUCCACAACCGAAAAUGCACAGAUCAAAGACAAAUGAACCCAUUUACUCCCUGGCAACCCUUCCCAGAGACCAGAUCAGAGAGGAGAGUUUACCUGAUCCAGUGUACGCCCAGAUCAAGUGACCCAAGAAAAAAUAAAUCAUAAAUAUGUUGUUUGUUUGUUUUCGCUUGGUAAAUUGUGUUCGCCCAUUAUUAAAUCUUAAUAUUUAAGAUUAAUAUUCUGAUUUUACUGCAUGAUUGUUUUCCUGUAUAAUACUGUUUGGAAAAUGCUGAUUGUAAACUUCCAGUUUAUAUUGCAUCUGUUUGUAUUUUAUGAUAUACAGUAUGAAUUAUGAUCUGAA